rnacentral:rRNA from 1 species
GCAAUGCCGCGUGCAGGAUGAAGGCCUUCGGGUUGUAAACUGCUUUUGUACGGAACGAAACGGCGAGCUCUAAUACAGUUUGCUAAUGACGGUACCGUAAGAAUAAGCACCGGCUAACUACGUGCCAGCAGCCGCGGUAAUACGUAGGGUGCGAGCGUUAAUCGGAAUUACUGGGCGUAAAGCGUGCGCAGGCGGUGAUGUAAGACAGAUGUGAAAUCCCCGGGCUCAACCUGGGACCUGCAUUUGUGACUGCAUCGCUAGAGUACGGCAGAGGGGGAUGGAAUUCCGCGUGUAGCAGUGAAAUGCGUAGAUAUGCGGAGGAACACCGAUGGCGAAGGCAAUCCCCUGGGCCUGUACUGACGCUCAUGCACGAAAGCGUGGGGAGCAAACAGGAUUAGAUACCCUGGUAGUCCACGCCCUAAACGAUGUCAACUGGUUGUUGGGUCUUCACUGACUCAGUAACGAAGCUAACG